UUUGAUGGGUUGUUGCAGUCACCCUAGUAACAAGGUAUCCUGCCAAAAGGUCUUGGGAGAUGCUGCUACCCUCAGCCAUGCAACACCUUCUUCUUUACUGAUGGACAGUCAUGUCACAGUGAGCAGCACAGUAUAAUCAGAUGGAUGCAUACAGAUAUCCAGGUUCCUUCAAGGGAAGAUGAGCAGACUAUGGCUGGAACCUCAUGCAGGUUUCAGGUAA